UGGUCUCCGGAACCACGUAAAAGAGCCGGAACCAAAAACAAACGCCGAGCCUCAGCUCGCGUUCGCUGCCUAAACACCAGCGACGUCCGCCCAGCCUCAGCCCUACGGGCUGGAAAGCGGGCGUCAUGAAGUAGGGCUUACCCCACGGUCACUCCGGCUGGUCGUGGGGGACACCAAGCCGGAUACGGGGUGCCGUCGUCGCCAGUAGCGGAGGCGUCCCUGACAAUCCAUCGCUGGCUGCGCUCGGAGAAGGCCCACUGAGAUGCCCGAGGACGCGGGUUCGAUUCCCGCCACCUCCACGU
rnacentral:tmRNA from 1 species